AGUUAUCUGAACCUUCGGGGAACGAUAACGGCGUCGAGCGGCGGACGGGUGAGUAAUGCCUAGGAAAUUGCCCUGAUGUGGGGGAUAACCAUUGGAAACGAUGGCUAAUACCGCAUAAUGCCUACGGGCCAAAGAGGGGGACCUUCGGGCCUCUCGCGUCAGGAUAUGCCUAGGUGGGAUUAGCUAGUUGGUGAGGUAAUGGCUCACCAAGGCGACGAUCCCUAGCUGGUCUGAGAGGAUGAUCAGCCACACUGGAACUGAGACACGGUCCAGACUCCUACGGGAGGCAGCAGUGGGGAAUAUUGCACAAUGGGCGCAAGCCUGAUGCAGCCAUGCCGCGUGUGUGAAGAAGGCCUUCGGGUUGUAAAGCACUUUCAGUCGUGAGGAAGGUAGUGUAGUUAAUAGCUGCAUUACUUGACGUUAGCGACAGAAGAAGCACCGGCUAACUCCGUGC
rnacentral:rRNA from 1 species